rnacentral:tRNA from 1 species
GCCCGGAUGGCGAAACUGGUAGACGCAAGGGACUUAAAAUCCCUCGGUAGUGAUACUGUGCCGGUUCGACCCCGGCUCCGGGCACCA